GAUGAACGCUAGCGGCAGGCCUAAUACAUGCAAGUCGGACGGGAUUUGGGAGCUUGCUCCUAAUGAGAGUGGCGCACGGGUGCGUAACACGUAUGUAACCUACCUUAAUCAGGGGGAUAGCCUCUCGAAAGAGAGAUUAACACCGCAUAAUAUAUUUUUAUGGCAUCGUAGAAAUAUCAAAUAUUUAUAGGAUUAAGAUGGGCAUGCGGAACAUUAGCUAGUUGGUAGGGUAACGGCUUACCAAGGCUACGAUGUUUAGGGGAUCUGAGAGGAUGACCCCCCACACUGUUACUGAGACACGGACCAGACUCCUACGGGAGGCAGCAGUAAGGAAUAUUGGUCAAUGGGCGCAAGCCUGAACCAGCCAUGCCGCGUGCAGGAAGACGGCCCUAUGGGUUGUAAACUGUUUUUGUACCGGAAUAAACCCUUUUACGUGUAAGAGGCUGAAUGUACGGUAAGAAUAAGGAUCGGCUAACUCCGUGCCAGCAGCCGCCGUAA
rnacentral:rRNA from 1 species